rnacentral:rRNA from 1 species
UUGAUAGUACCUUACUACAUGGAUACCUGUGGUAAUUCUAGAGCUAAUACAUGCUGAAAACCUCGACUUCGGAAGGGGUGUAUUUAUUAGAUAAAAAACCAAUGCCCUUCGGGGCUCCUUGGUGAAUCAUAAUAACUUAACGAAUCGCAUGGCCUUGCGCCGGCGAUGGUUCAUUCAAAUUUCUGCCCUAUCAACUUUCGAUGGUAGGAUAGUGGCCUACCAUGGUGGCAACGGGUAACGGGGAAUUAGGGUUCGAUUCCGGAGAGGGAGCCUGAGAAACGGCUACCACAUCCAAGGAAGGCAGCAGGCGCGCAAAUUACCCAAUCCCGACACGGGGAGGUAGUGACAAUAAAUACUGAUACGGGGCUCUUUUGGGUCUCGUAAUUGGAAUGAGUACAAUCUAAAUCCCUUAACGAGGAACAAUUGGAGGGCAAGUCUGGUGCCAGCAGCCGCGGUAAUUCCAGCUCCAAUAGCGUAUAUUAAAGUUGUUGCAGUUAAAAAGCUCGUAGUUGAACCUUGGGUCUGGCUGGCCGGUCCGCCUCACCGCGAGUACUGGUCCGGCUGGACCUUUCCUUCUGGGGAAUCUCAUGGCCUUCACUGGCUGUGGGGGGAACCAGGACUUUUACUGUGAAAAAAUUAGAGUGUUCAAAGCAGGCCUUUGCUCGAAUACAUUAGCAUGGAAUAAUAGAAUAGGACGUGCGGUUCUAUUUUGUUGGUUUCUAGGACCGCCGUAAUGAUUAAUAGGGAUAGUCGGGGGCGUCAGUAUUCAGCUGUCAGAGGUGAAAUUCUUGGAUUUGCUGAAGACUAACUACUGCGAAAGCAUUCGCCAAGGAUGUUUUCAUUAAUCA